GGAGAGGUGCUGGAGUGGCUGAUCAGGCUCGCCUGGAAAGCGGGUAGAGGGCAACACCCUCUCGUGGGUUCGAAUCCCACCCUCUCCGCCA
rnacentral:tRNA from 1 species